rnacentral:rRNA from 1 species
UGGCGAACGGGUGAGUAACACGUGAGUAACCUGCCCUUGACUUUGGGAUAACUUCAGGAAACUGGGGCUAAUACCGGAUAGGAGCUCCUGCUGCAUGGUGGGGGUUGGAAAGUUUCGGCGGUUGGGGAUGGACUCGCGGCUUAUCAGCUUGUUGGUGGGGUAGUGGCUUACCAAGGCUUUGAUGGGUAGCCGGCCUGAGAGGGUGACCGACCACAUUGGGACUGAGAUACGGCCCAG